rnacentral:rRNA from 1 species
CAGCCGCCGCGGUAAUACGUAGGGGGCGAGCGUUACCCGGAUUCACUGGGCGUAAAGGGGGUGUAGGCGGCUCGGUAAGUCGGGUGUGAAAUCCCACGGCUCAACCGUGGAAUUGCGCCCGAAACUGCCGAGCUUGGGGCCGGUAGAGGGAGACGGAACUGCCGGUGUAGGGGUGAAAUCCGUAGAUAUCGGCAGGAACGCCGGUGGGGAAGCCGGUCUCCUGGGCCGCGCCCGACGCUGAGGCCCGAAAGCUAGGGGAGCAAACCGGAUUAGAUACCCGGGUAGUCCUAGCCGUAAACGAUGCCCACUAGGUGUGGGGGGUUAAUCCCUCCGUGCCGAAGCUAACGCAUUAAGUGCCCCGCCUGGGGAGUACGGCCGCAAGGUUGAAACUUAAAGGAAUUGGCGGG